rnacentral:rRNA from 2 species
GGGGAAUUUUCCGCAAUGGGCGAAAGCCUGACGGAGCAAUACCGCGUGAGGGAGGAAGGCUCUUGGGUCGUAAACCUCUUUUCUCAAGGAAGAACACAAUGACGGUACUUGAGGAAUAAGCAUCGGCUAACUCCGUGCCAGCAGCCGCGGUAAUACGGAGGAUGCAAGCGUUAUCCGGAAUGAUUGGGCGUAAAGCGUCCGCAGGUGGCAGUGUGUGUCUGCUGUUAAAGAGUCUAGCUCAACUAGAUAAGAGCAGUGGAAACUACACAGCUAGAGUACGUUCGGGGCAGAGGGAAUUCCUGGUGUAGCGGUGAAAUGCGUAGAGAUCAGGAAGAACACCGGUGGCGAAAGCGCUCUGCUAGGCCUGUACUGACACUGAGGGACGAAAGCUAGGGGAGCGAAUGGGAUUAGAUACCCCAGUAGUCCUAGCCGUAAACGAUGGAUACUAGGCGUUGCUUGUAUCGACCCGAGCAGUGCCGUAGCUAACGCGUUAAGUAUCCCGCCUGGGGAGUACGCACGCAAGUGUGAAACUCAAAGGAAUUGACGGGGGCCCGCACAAGCGGUGGAGUAUGUGGUUUAAUUCGAUGCAACGCGAAGAACCUUACCAAGACUUGACAUGUCGCGAAUUUUCUUGAAAGGGAAAAGUGCCUUCGGGAGCGCGAACACAGGUGGUGCAUGGCUGUCGUCAGCUCGUGUCGUGAGAUGUUGGGUUAAGUCCCGCAACGAGCGCAACCCUCGUUUUUAGUUGCCAGCAUUAAGUUGGGCACCCUAGAGAGACUGCCGGUGACAAACCGGAGGAAGGUGGGGAUGACGUCAAGUCAGCAUGCCCCUUACGUCUUGGGCUACACACGUACUACAAUGCUACGGACAGAGGGCAGCUACCUAGCAAUAGCAAGCAAAUCCCGUAAACCGUAGCUCAGUUCAGAUCGCAGGCUGCAACUCGCCUGCGUGAAGGAGGAAUCGCUAGUAAUUGCAGGUCAGCAUACUGCAGUGAAUUCGUUCCCGGGCCUUGUACACACCGCCCGUCACACCAUGGAAGCUGGCAACGCCCGAAGUCACUACUCCAACCCUUCGGGGGGGAGGAUGCCUAAGGCAGUGCUGGUGACUGGGGUGAAGUCGUAACAAGGUAGCCGUACCGGAAGGUGUGGCUGGAUCACCUCCUU